rfam:Kwoniella mangroviensis CBS 10435 unplaced genomic scaffold supercont2.12, whole genome shotgun sequence.
GUCUACGGCCAUCGAACGUGGAAAGUACCGUAUCCCGUCAGCUUUGCGAAGUGAAGCCACGUAUCGCUCGAUUAGUACCAAGGUUGGGGACAACUUGGGAAUACCGAGUGCUGCUGUAGUUU